CAAGGGAGGAGUCUUUGAUCUGCGCAUUGUACUCAAUUAACGGCCGCGGUAUUUUGACCGUGCGUAGGUAGCGCAAUCACUUGUCUUUUAAUGAGACUGUAUGAUGGUGUACGAGGCUGACUGUCUCCUCGAGUCAUGAAUGAUCUGCCGUGCAGAGCGACAUAAAUACAGACGAGAGAACCUUUGAGCUUAGAUCAGAUCACUUGUCAAGACAAUAGUUCACUAUACACGAUCCUACUCGAUGAGCGACGCGGAGAAACAAGUCCAGGGAUGGGCCACCCCAGACCAGAAUAUUCUAGUCACAAUCUGACUUAAACGCAGCGACUAGACAGGUACCUGGAUACGGAUCAUGUAGUCAUCCGAGGUCACCAUUGCCGCCCCACGCCCCGUUAGGCGUUCAGAAGC
rnacentral:rRNA from 1 species